AUCAAUUUGGAUCUAAUUUAG
rnacentral:miRNA from 1 species